rnacentral:lncRNA from 1 species
GUCACCAGGGUGUCACCGGGGCUCAGGAAGUGUCCCCAGGGUGUCCCCAGGGUGUCACCGGGGCUCAGGAAGUGUCCCCAGGGUGUCCCCGCGCUGUCCCCGGGGUGUCCCAGGGCUCAGGGAGGUGUCCCCAGGGUGUCCCCAGGGUGUCACGGAGCUCACGGAGGUGUCCCCGUGCUGUCCCGGGGCUCGGGGAGGUGUCCCCAGGCUGUCCCCAGGGUGUCCCGGGGCUCAGGGAAGUGUCCCCAGGGUGUCCCCAGGGUGUCCCCGCGCUGUCCCCGCGCCGUCCCCGCGGUGUCACAGUGCUCAGGGAAGUGUCCCCAGGGUGUCCCGGGGCUCGGGGAGGUGUCCCCAGGGUGUCCCCAGGGUGUCCCCAGGGUGUCCCCAGUGUCCCCACGUGUCCCCAAGGCCAGGACAAUGCAGGAUCUGUGUCCCCACGAGUGGGAUUGGGAAUGGGGUGAGCUCCUUGUCCCCGUGGUGUCCCCCCAUGUCCCCCCGGUGUCCCCAGGGUGUCCCCAGUGUCCCCAGAGUGUCCCCAAGGCCGGGACAAUGCAGGAUCUGUGUCCCCACGAGUGGGAUUGGGAAUGGGGUGGGAUCUCAGCGGGACAAGGAGCUCCAUUGAGGCAGCGCCCCACGGGGGUGGGUGACAGGUGACAUCUCGCUGCCACCCCUGCUGCCACCCCCCCCUCGGGCUUCCUCAACCCCGUGGGAAUUCCAUGAUUCAGCCAAUUCUGGAAGGAAAAAUUCCCCAAAACGCCGAAACCUUCCCGGUUUUCCCGGUGGGAACGGGAUUUUUCCGGGUCUGGAUGAAUUCUUCUGGAAUAAAGCAGCUGUGAUCCUCCA